UUUGUAAAUAAUUAUAUAUCCCUAAAAAUGUUAACAAAGUAAGUAAUCAUUCAAGGUUUUCAAAAAAAAUUUAGGAAAUGACGAUUACGUGUAACAACCUGUAAUUCGGCGAAACAUCAGCUUUGUAUACAAUAACAAUAGGCAACAUAGAGGGCCCAGAGUUUAGGUCAGGUAUCGCUCGAAGUAUUGGUUGAAAAAAAUUUAGGGGCAAAUCCGUUGGCUCCAAUAGAUUGUCAUACGACAAGCGGAAAUGCACUUGUUGUUGGAUCCAAACUGAAAAAAAUCCGGCAGGUGAAACCGAAUCUCUGUAUAAUUUCAAGAUUCAUGGCAAGGUAAAGAAUACAAGUAGAUCAAAUUCAACACAAGCACGUGUCCAAGAACAGACAAUUGAUACAAAAUUGCAAUUCUGAUAAUAAUUUAAUUUAAAAGAGUGCAAAAUUAGUUUCUAAUUAAAUUUUUUUAAAGAAAGAUCCAAGCCAUUAUGAAAAAAUGGUGGAUCUUAUAUCGAAUUUUCACAAUUUUCAUGUUUGACACUGUAAAGAAAGCAACGAGUAAUGAAGAUGAUGAUAUAGAAAACAAUACAACGUUAAGUAUGGUAGACAAAAUGGAAUUAAAUGCGGUAGACAAUGCAAAAAAUAUUACAGAAUUAAAUACCGUACAAAAUGUGAUAUUAAAUAAUACAAAUAUAGAAUAUAAUUUCACUGACUAUGAUGAAAUGAAAGAAUUAGUCAUGAAAGAAUUACAUAAGAGAAACAGACAACGUUUCUUUAUAACGCAAAUUAUAAUACAGAUUGUAGUAAUAGCAAUUAUACUAGUGAUUGUGAUCAUUGCGAUUAUCAAGAAUAAAUAUAUCAAAUAUAUAUAAAAUACUUGUACAUUCUACUCAUCAUAAUCAUCGAUGAGUAAACCAAAUUAUCUUAAACGAUUCACAAAACCGGUGUGUACACAACCGGACAUCUCGCUUUGGAAUUGGCACAAGACUCAAUUCAUUCCAUCAUGUCGCACGAGAAUACUUUCAGAAGAUGCGUUCUCGUUCAUAUAUAAUUACUAUAAACAAUAUUGAAGCAGGAAGUAUUUGGGACACUCGGCAGACGUACAAUAACAUGCUUGCAAAGCGCAGAGAACGGGAAGCAUUAAGAUCGAUAUUUUAUUACAGUGCACAACAAGAAUUUCAUGAUGAUAGUAUGGAGUUUGUUCGAAUCGAACCUCAACGUCAAACAGUAUGACCAUAUGAUAAUAUUAUCCUUUUUAUUGUUUGACAAAUUGUCUAUCAAUUACUUUUUAUAUAAUAUUCAUAUUUAUUAUAUUAGAUUUAUAUUAUUAAUCACUUUAUGUAUCACU